rnacentral:misc_RNA from 1 species
AACGCAAAUUGCGCCGACUCUGUCGGCAUGCUUGUUUCAGUGUCAUCUAAAAUCUGCUCCACACCUUAAUGCGACUGAUUUACCAAUCUGUUGCUAAGUGCGAGUGGCGUAUACUAGUCACGGAGCUUUGCUCUCUCAAUGCAGCAGUCACACCUAGUGUGUCCUCGUUGAGAGUUGACUAGCAAUAUACCACAGAUUAUAAGCUCUCUUCUGUAUCUGAAAUCAAGUAAGGCCACCCGCUGAACUUAA